rnacentral:rRNA from 1 species
AUUGAACGCUGGCGGCAGGCCUAACACAUGCAAGUCGAACGAGUGGCGGACGGGUGAGUAAUGUCUGGGAAACUGCCCGAUGGAGGGGGAUAACUACUGGAAACGGUAGCUAAUACCGCAUACCAUCGGAUGUGCCCAGAUGGGAUUAGCUAGUAGGUGGGGUAACGGCUCACCUAGGCGACGAUCCCUAGCUGGUCUGAGAGGAUGACAAGCCACACUGGAAAUGAGACACGUUCCAGACUCCUACGGGAGGCAGCAGUGGGGAAUAUUGCACUACGGGGGCAAGCCUGAUGCAGCCAUGCCGAGUGUAUGAAGAAGGAUUUCGGGUUGUAAGGUACAUGCAGCGAGGAGGCGUUACUCGCAGAAGAAGCACCGUCUAACGCAGUGACAGCAGCCGCGGUAAUAC